UCCACGUUGCCCGGUUGGAAAGGUCUUACGUGGGUCAAGAUAGAACUACAGAGCAGUGGGACCUUGGAAGGGUUCUGCCAUCCGCUCCUCUUCCAUUAUUACCUACAUGAGAAGCCUGAGGACGUGAAGUGUUAACGUUUGUGUGGAGCAUAGCGAACAUGUCUUCACACCAACAUGUCUUUACCAUCGCGAGGAUUCGAGGGUCUUGAGUUCACGGUCCACUGACGCAUCUCUUUGCUCAGCAUUACCCUCCUCUCUGUACAAUCUCUAUACAUUCCUUGUGGCUGUUGGAGGAGGGGUAAUGUUUGGAAUGUGCGUGGUCCUCACACACCCACUACCCGGUUCAUCGGCUAGCUUCAAUAUGGUUGCAUGCGGGAUAUCAUGAGAGUAGUCUUCCUGAGUGGGACUGGUGGAGACCAUGGUUCAAGAGGACAAGCUGUUAGCUUACAGACAAUUCCGCUAAGCGCUUCCCAACAGCUACCUAGCAACAGUUGCGUCAUCACCUGCCGCCAUUACUACCCGCGCCCACCACUGGCCAGGUGCAGGUGACCUGGCAGCAUGCCUACGCCUGGUUCUCAGUACCCUGGCAGCACGAGCACCGACAAAUGGAGGUCCCACUGAGAUCGGGAAAGUGAAGAAUUCCUGAUGGGGUCGUCCAAGGAGCUGGCGAGCAAACUGAAGGGACGUAUUGGGUAAAAUGGGCCACAAAGUUGGAGCCCCAGUAAGCAGUGAGUAAAAGGACACCAUGGGAAUUGAAAGCACAUGCAAAGAAAAAUAAAGUUUUGGGCUCUUAAACCUC